CCGCCCCGAGCCCGGCGUGCAGCGCGCGGGGCGGGGCCGGCGCCGCCGGGGCGGGGCCGCGGCCAUCUUGGGAAGGUGCGCUCGCCAUCUUCGGGGGGGAUCGGCCACGGCGGGACGCGGCAGUCGCCAUCCUGAGGAGGGACCGUGUCAGGUAAAGCCCCUGCUCUUCGGCCUCAGAUUGUGUAGAGGUUUGUGCUGCGUGUAAAGGAGAAACAGGCUCAGGUAUUUUUGCACCGUUUUAUGGAGCAUCGUGGUGGAUUGGUGUGCCUGUGCCUCAGACUGGCAGGUCAGUGAAGCCUGGGGACAGUCAGCACAGCAGCGGGGACGAGGAAGCAUCUGAAGGGUUUUCUGAGAUCUUGGCUGCUCCUCGUGUUCCUUUUCCUCAAUAUCCCACAAAAUAAUCGGCUGCCAGAGAAUUUCCUGCCUGUGUACACCUUCCCUGG